rfam:Triticum aestivum genome assembly, contig: Triticum_aestivum_CS42_TGACv1_scaffold_179687_2DS
AACAUACUCCCUCCGUCCGAAAAAGCUUGACUCUCAAAUGGAUGUAUCUAACAUCAACUUGGUGCUAGAUACAUCCAUUUGACGGACAAGCUUCGGACAAGAUUUUUCGGACGAAGGGAGUAUUAA